CUCGCGACCGCCCCUACGAGAAACGAGGAUUCCGAAACUGUAUAAAACGUCCCGAUCGAAGCCCGGGAAGUCUUCGAAAAUAAUUUCCGAAAAUGUUCGAUUUCGACGAUUUUUGCCGUCGACGGCGAAUAUGGCCAAACGUUGGGGGCUUGGGAAAACGAACGGAAACUUUUCGGCGUCCGGGAACGGGCUAUGUCGUAUCCCGAAGGACCGUAAUUUCUUCAGUUGACACUCUCGCCCACCUUUACGGCCCCCAAAUAACCGAAAAUUGCGUAAGAAAAAAGGGUAAUUUUGACGUUUCUCAAUUUCGCAUUUUUUCGUUUUCGUAGAAGGAAAACCACAGAGACGUCAUUAUCGAUAGUUGUCACGUAUGAAUAAUUCACGCGAUUUUCAUUCCAAACAUUGGAAAAAUGGAUAAAAAUGAGUGAAAAUCGUUCAAAUCACGUAUCUAGAGUCCCAAAUAUUACGAUUCGGGAUUCCGAGACGAUAAUUUCUAUCUAAAUAUGCACGGGAAUGACAAGCAUCGAACUCUCAUAUAAAUUCUGCCGUUGAGGGAAGAGUGGAAAAUUGUUUGGAUAACGGUAAUCGUAGAAGGCAUAUACGAGACCGGGGACGGUCUAUGUUUUAUCAGCAAGGACCGAAUCAUAAGUUUCAACCAAUUUGAGCUCCUAAAACGAUCCAGAAAUACCCCAAAAAUGCAUAGGAAAAAGGUAGAAAGGUGCAAAACUCUUUGUGAUAGGGAAAUCUCACGAAGUCAUUUAUCGUACCGGAGAGGGGCUAUGUUUUGUCAGGAAGGACUGAAUUUUACUAAUUAAUCAUUUUGAGCUCCUAAAACGACCCAGAAAUACCCCCAAAAUGCAUAAGAAAAAGGUAGAAUUUUUGACAUUUCUCGAAUUCAUUUUUCAUUCGAAGGAAUAACACCAAACUGAAGAAAUUUGAUCGUUUUCAAGAAAACUCGAGCACUAAGGGGAGCAUUUAUAUCAUUUCAAACAUGUAUUGAUUCAUUAGAAGUACAAACUGUCGUAAAAGUAUGAGAUGGUAUCGAGGCAUGUAUGGGCUUUUAGGGCGACCGUUGGAUUAAAGCAAAUAGAGCGUUCGUCCCUUUAAGAAAUGCCCUUUACGUUAUUGUAUAGAAGGCCAAGAUCGAAGGCCUGAAAGUCUCCCAAAAUAAUUUCUGAAAUACGUCGUUUUCGACGAAAGGUGCAAAACUCUUUGGAAUAAGAAAGUCGCACCAAGUCAUUUAUCGUGCCGGAGACGGGCUAUGUUUUGUCAGGAAGGACUGAAUUUUACUUAUUAAUCAUUUUGAGCUGCUAAAAUGACCCAGAAAUACCAGAAAAAUGCAUAAGAGAAAGGUAGAAUUUUUGACAUUUCUCAAGUUCAUGUUGAGGUUAGUUUUUUGUGCUCAUUGUAGAGAAGGGAAUUUGUUGGUUUCUAUUAAAGGAAACUGAAUUGAAUAUUAUAAUGCAUGAAUAAAUAAUCAUUUUGCUCCAUGUCAACUGCAUACAAUAGAUUUUUAGCAAUUUUCAAGCAGUUGGGCAGUGUCCGGUGAUGUUUUCUUUUUACUCAUUCGAGGUCAAAGGAAAAAUGUGUUUUCGAUUGAUUUAUUCAAUAGAAAUGAUAUAAUGAUUAUUGGAAUACAUUAUCCGGGUGAGUUUUUGCAUUAAAAUUUUACAUUUAUAGACUUUUAGCAAGUUAUUCCAAUUUUAAGGCUAGAUUUUUUUUUUCAUCGUAGAGGAAGGAAUGUUGUGAGUUCCUUUUCAAAAUGAACUGAAUGAAAUCUUGAAAAGCAGGGAAUCCCUUUUAUAAUGUGUCUUCUCAACUGCAUAUAACUGAUUUUUGCUAAUAUCAUCAACUAUAUUUGGUUUUUUUGUUUCAUUCCUAAUUCCAGUAUGCAGUUCAUUCAUCAUCGAUGUAAAUUUCCUGAAAUUAUUCAUGGAUUAUACUGAGUGAAUCAGAAUAUAUGAUUUGAUUAUUAUUAUUUCGAAUAAAUCUCUACAUAAUUCUCUGUACUUCAAAUAUUCUUAUAGCCACAUCCCCAUUAGAAAAUACACCUCUUUGAAAUAAGGAAGUUGCAUGAAGUAAUUUAUUGGUUCAGAGACAGCCUAUGUUUUGUCAGGAAAGUCUAAAUUUUACUUAUUGAUCAUUUUGAGCUCCUAAAAUGACCCAGAAAUACCAGAAAAAUGCAUAAGAAAAAGGUAGAAUUUUUGACAUUUUUAAAUUCAUAUUGCGGUUAGAUUUUUUAUGCUCAUUGUAGAGAAAGGAAUUCUUCGGUUUCUAUUGAAGGAAACUGAAUUGAAUCUUAUAAUGCAUGAAUCAAUAAUCAUUUUGCUUCAUUCCAACUGCAUACAAUAGAUUUUUAGCAAUUUUCAAGCAGUUGGGCAGUGUCCGGUGAUGUUUUCUUUUUACUCAAUCGAGGUCCAAGGAAAAAUAUGUUUUCGAUUAAUUUAUUCAAUGGAAAUAAUAUAAUGAUUAUUGGAAUACAUUAUCCAGCAAUUUUCAUUCAAAACCUUAGAGAAAUUAAUAAAAAUAAGUGAAAAUCCUUCGAAACACGUAUUUAUAGUCCCAAGUAUGAUGAAUCGGGCUUUCCUUCAAGACGAUAAUUCCUAUUCAAAUAUGUAUGGGUAUAAUUGCCUUUCCGUUAUUGUAUGGGGAACAUCAAGAUCGAAGCCCUGGAAGUCUCCUAAAAUAAUUUCUGAAAAAGGUCCAUUCUACCGUUUACCGAGAAAGAUGCAAGUGCUUACUUAUUCAAGGUGGAAAAAGAAAAGGUUGAUUCUAUUUGCUGUUCCUAAAUUACAAUUUGUCAGCAAAUGUUAUCCUUUUUAUCAAGGUGACUAGCAUUUCGAACUACCGGAGAAAGGAAUUUACUUCUUUUUUCACUUCAGAUGCAAUAUUCUUCAAAAAAUUAAUUGUAACUAAAUUGGCUGGUGGGAAAUCUAAUAGAAUGUAGGUAUUUCCGAUUUUAUCCAAAAAAUAUCUAACAAUUUUGAGCAAAUCAAAAUAAAUAUUAUUUUUUUAGGUUAUUUUCUGCAGGAAGAACCAGGUAUGGUUGGAUGUGGUGGCUUCCAGAAGUGUCCCAAAAUAUUUUCUGAUAAAGGUCGUUUUCGACAAAAUAUGCAAAACUCUUUGGAAUAAGGAGGACGCACGAAAUCAUUUAUCGUACCGGAGACGGGCUAUGUUUUGUCAGGAAGGACUAAAUUUUACUAAUUUAUCAUUUUGAGCCCCCAAAACGACCCAGAAGUAUCCGAAAAAUGCAUGAGAAAAAGGUAGAAUUUUGACAUUUCUCGAGUUCAUGUUGAGAUUUUUAGCAAUUCCCAAGCAGUUGGGCAGCGUCCGGUGAUGUUUCCUUUUUACUCAUUCGAGGUCCAAAGAAAAAUAUGUUUUCGAUUAAUUUAUUCAAUGGAAAUAAUAUUAUGAUUAUUGGAAUACAUUAUCCGGGUGAGUUUUUGCAUUAGAAUUAUUUAUUCAUAGAAUUUUGGCAAGUUAUUCUCAUUUUUGUUUUCAUCGUAGCGGAAGGAAUUUUGUGAGUUCCUUUUCAAAAUGAACUGAAUGAAAUCUUGAAAAGCAUGGAAUCUCUUUUAUAAGGUUUUUUUCCAACUGCAUAUUUCUGAUUUAUGCUGAUAUUCAAGCUCAAUAUGAAGAUAAUUGUAUUGACAAGAAUUCUUUCAGAAAAACUGUGACAAUGUCUGUUGAAAUUGUUACACUGAAAUACGGAUUUCCUACUGCCUUUGAAAAUUCAUAGUUUGUUUUAAUUGAGGAAUUAUUCUUAUCCAUCCAUUGCAUAACUGUUAUAUUGAAAGUUGAAAUAUUCAAUAAAUAGAAUGAAACAAAUGAUAAUGA